rnacentral:rRNA from 1 species
UACGUAGGGUGCAAGCGUUGUCCGGAAUUAUUGGGCGUAAAGAGCUCGUAGGCGGUUUGUUGCGUCGGCUGUGAAAUCCCGAGGCUCAACCUCGGGUCUGCAGUCGAUACGAGCAAACUAGAGUGUUGCAGGGGAGACUGGAAUUCCUGGUGUAGCGGUGAAAUGCGCAGAUAUCAGGAGGAACACCGGUGGCGAAGGCGGCUCACUGGCCCGUAACUGACGCUGAGGCACGAAAGCGUGGGGAGCAAACAGG